AUUUCUGUAUAAAUACUGUGACGGGACUAUAUUCUUUCAAAAUAACCAAAAUCUUGAUUAUGUAGGCCAAACAUAACCGCCUCUGUCAUAUUUCUGAAAAAUGAUCGCAUUCAAAUCACGGUUUCCCGAAUAAUAAAGAAGUAGAACACCAACUCCAACCAGAAGUCAAAUAGCAUAGCUAUUGAAAAAGGUAGAACGCCACCAUUAGGGCCAUUAGCCCAAAAACGCAGCAGCUUCAGCUAGAAAAGGAAGACCACAUUCUGCAAUAAAAGGUGAUACCCCAUCCACCACCUAUGAACAUUAUUCGAGAUGGAGAAGAUAUUCGAUAAACGCCUUAUCUGUGAGGUAAUGAAGUCUAAAAAUUUAGAUGAAAAUCCUUAGAUGAGCGAUUCAAUAGUAUGUUAUGAGUUUUUCUCAAUGGAAAGAUCAGAUAAAGGAAUACAAUAGUGUCAAAAAAAAUAGAGAUAAUAAACUAGGACAUUUGGAAGGCAAUGUCUUCGACUCCUAACAUAGACAGAAAGAGUUACAUAUCAAAUUUAAACAUUCCAAUGGAAACCAACUGGUUGAAAUAAACAAAUAAAAUGCUGAAAGAUCUGUCAAAAUGCAUCGCGAAAAGAACAUCAAUUGGUUAUAAUUGUGAAUAAAUUGGGCAGAAAAAGA